rnacentral:lncRNA from 1 species
GGAGCUUUGCUGAAACUGCACAAAAAAUCGAGCCGGGGGGUUCCCUGGUCCCCGGCGAUGGGGCGGGGAGCGCUGCGCCGGGGGAGGGGGCGGGCGCGGCGGCGCGGGCCCCGCCGAGGGGGGACACCUGGCUGAGGCACAGCUGCCGCCGUGCCUUUCCGCGCGAGCCCAGAGCUCCGAUCCCUGCGCGGGCUCGAGAGCUCGCCCCGAACGGGGGUCUUCCUCCUCCGCCGUUGACAGGUUUUGACCUGUAGCAGAGAACCAAUUCUGGAGAACAGCCUCACUUCUUUGAUUGAAUACUUACAUAAUGCAUUGGAACAUGACAUGAGAUUAAGGUUUAAUAAUGAUAGAAUGAAGACCACAAUAAAAGAGACCUCUACUUAGCUCAGCAAUUCUUACCUUUCUUACCUAUUUGAUGAAGAUGUCUUUUGAAAGGUGUACUGCAAGGAACAAAAUGUUUGUAAAUUCUCCUUUUACCAAGGUGGAUAAUUACUGUACCUUCCUCAUGGAAAAAGUUUUAUUUAAAGUGUUAUUUCUCAUUGAAUACUAUCAAAAAGGAAAAAAAAAUGACCUAAACUUUUGAGAUAGAUUUGGCUCUAGGCCUACUCUAGGUGCGGUACUUCACUAUAGUUUAUAAAAGAUGGUCCCUGUCAGCAAAGAACUGUAACCUGUAUGAGAAUAUUAUACUAACAUACAAGAAACAAGUAGAGAAUAAUGGAAUGUAAACUCUGGCUUGCUAACUUAAGUGUGGUAGAAGCUUGAAGGAAAUGUGGACUUAAACUUAUCAGAGAAGACUUAUAAGAGGAUAUGAAAGGUGUAAAUUUUGAUACCACCAUUGCCGCCUUCCCCUCAAAAAAGGUGAGAACUGACUAAACUACUGGUACUUAGACCAUGUGGAGAAGGAACUGAAAAUGGAAACAGAAACACGUCUGUACAGAGCAGAGUGUCAGAUAAUAGCUCAUUUUAGUAGAGGGCAAUAAAUGCCACAUGAGAUGAUCACCUCAGCAGAAAACUGGGAUGUGGAGACGCUGGUAGCGGGGCCAGGAAGGCUCCGGACGGAGCAGGUUUUCUGGACCACAGACACACUGCCCCGGCGCCCUCCGCAGGCCGCUCCUCCCCAGGCCCAUGACAGUGCCCCGCUGGUUUCUGCCGCGCUGCCGGACUGGAGCUCAGACGGCCUUCGCCAGCCCCCCCAACCCACGCAGAUCCCUGCUGACCUGGGCAACUCCCCACCCUCGCUGAAGGUUCGAGGACCACCCCGCUUUCCCGAGAGGAGCCGGGCGGCGGGUACUUAUCUCCGACCUCCGGCUAGUGGGAAAGGCCGCGCGACCGCCCGUCCUCCAACUACAGGGACCGCACGAACAGCGACUGGGAAACUGCCACUAGAAAAAGAUGACUGUCCAACUAAAACCUGCAUACACAGCUACAUCCUUCCCUGGAAGAGCACAGUGGAACUAGAUCCUAGUACAGAUAGCACAGGGAUUGUCAACAUUCUUGUCACACUGAAAUUUCCUUCUACUGAUCUCCAAACUUCUAAAAAUUUGCUGUUGAGACCAGCUGAAAUGUUUGAAAGAAGCAACUAAAGAAAGAAACUUUGAAAGAAGCUUCCAAAAGAAGCAACCAAGUCUACAAAGGCACAGUUUGACUCAAAUGGAUCCAACUGAUUAGCAAAUGGAAAAUAACAUGGAGGAAUAUAUUUUGCAUGACAAGCAUAGCAGCUCCAAGUCAUCCCUAAUGAAGCCAAAAAUUUAAGUGCAACCCAGAGAAUGGAUGGUUCAGAAUCUUUUUUUUUUUUGAGAUGGAGUCUCGCUCUGUCACCUAGGCUGGAGUGCGGUGGCAUGAUCUCGGCUCACUGCAAGCUCCGCCUCCUGGGUUCACGCCAUUCUCCUGCCUCAGCCUUCCGGGUAGCUGGGACUACAGGUGCCUGCCACCACGCCCGGCUAAUUUUUUGUAUUUUUAGUAGAGACGGGGUUUCACCGUGUUAGCUAGGAUGGUCUCAAUCUCCUGACCUCGUGAUCUGCCCGCCUCAGCCUCCCAAAGUGCUGGAAUUACAGGCGUGAGCCACCGCGCCCGGCCCAGAAUCUUUUUUAAAUUUUUUAUUAUUAUUAUUUUUUCUGAGAUGGAGUCCGGCUCUGUGGCCAGGCUGGAGUGCAGUGGCACAAUCUCAGCUCACUGCAACCUCUGACUCCCAGGUACAAGUGAUUCUCCUGCCUCAGCCUCCUGAGUAGCUGGGAUAACAGGCACGUGCCACCACGCCCAGCUAAUUUUUGUAUUUUUAGUAGAGACGGGGUUUCACCAUGUUGGCCAGGAUGGUCUCGAUCUGCCUACCUUGGCCUCCCAAUGUACUGGGAUUACAGGCGUGAGCCACCGUACCCGGCCCAGAAUCUUUGCCUUUUGUUUGCAUAGUUUAAUCUUCUAAACCAGUUGCUUUCCCAGAAAAGGUGACUUAAAGUCAUAGCCUUUGUGUUCAUCACCAUACUCUCCAUAGUUUUACAAAUUAUUCAGUUUAUUUUUAAAAGGGGUAAUUUUUAAAAUUUUUAUUUUUAAUUCCGAAGCAUUCCUUUUAAUACAUUCUCUUGAGGGAAAAAAAAAAUCACACAUAGUGAUUGUGUGUGGUAGUGAUUAUGUGUGGCCUAAGUGGCAAUUGAUCAAUACCCCAAUCUCAAGCCUGUACAUUGUUACUGGUUGACUGGUUGGUUGCCUGGUGGGCUUUUUGUCCUUCCAGAUGUUUUUCUACCUUCUGCCUUUUCCAAUAAAGCUUCCAUUAU